GAUGAACGCUGGCGGCGUGCCUAAUACAUGCAAGUCGAGCGAACAGACGAGGAGCUUGCUCCUCUGACGUUAGCGGCGGACGGGUGAGUAACACGUGGAUAACCUACCUAUAAGACUGGGAUAACUUCGGGAAACCGGAGCUAAUACCGGAUAAUAUCUUGAACCGCAUGGUUCAAUAGUGAAAGACGGUUUUGCUGUCACUUCUAGAUGGAUCCGCGCCGCAUUAGCUAGUUGGUAAGGUAACGGCUUACCAAGGCAACGAUGCGUAGCCGACCUGAGAGGGUGAUCGGCCACACUGGAACUGAGACACGGUCCAGACUCCUACGGGAGGCAGCAGUAGGGAAGCUUCCGCAAUGGGCGAAAGCCUGACGGAGCAACGCCGCGUGAGUGAUGAAGGUCUUCGGAUCGUAAAACUCUGUUAUUAGGGAAGAACAAAUGUGUAAGUAACUAUGCACGUCUUGACGGUACCUAAUCAGAAAGCCACGGCUAACUACGUG
rnacentral:rRNA from 1 species